rnacentral:rRNA from 1 species
CAGCACCUCAAGUGGUCAGGAUGAUUAUUGGGCCUAAAGCAUCCGUAGCCUGUUCUGUAAGUUUCCGGUUAAAUCCAUUAGCUCAACUAAUGGGCUGCCGAAAAUACUGCAGAACUAGGGAGUGGGAGAGGUAGACGGUACUCGGUAGGAAGGGGUAAAAUCCUUUGAUCUAUUGAUGACCACCUGUGGCGAAGGCGGUCUACCAGAACACGUCCGACGGUGAGGGAUGAAAGCUGGGGGAGCAAACCGGAUUAGAGACCCGAGUAGUCC